rnacentral:rRNA from 1 species
GGUUUUGCAGUGGGUACGGGCUAACUAGAGUGCAGUAGGGGAGACUGGAAUUCCUGGUGUAGCGGUGGAAUGCGCAGAUAUCAGGAGGAACACCGAUGGCGAAGGCAGGUNUCUGGGCUGUAACUGACGCUGAGAAGCGAAAGCAUGGGGAGCGAACAGGAUUAGAUACCCUGGUAGUCCAUGCCGUAAACAUUGGGCACUAGGUGUGGGGGACAUUCCACGUUUUCCGCGCCGUAGCUAACGCAUUAAGUGCCCCGCCUGGGGAGUACGGCCGCAAGGCUAAAACUCAAAGAAAUUGACGGGGGCCCGCACAAGCGGCGGAGCAUGCGGAUUAAUUCGAUGCAACGCGAAGAACCUUACCAAGGCUUGACAUAUACUGGACUGCGUCAGAGAUGGCGUUUCCCUUCGGGGCUGGUAUACAGGUGGUGCAUGGUUGUCGUCAGCUCGUGUCGUGAGAUGUUGGGUUAAGUCCCGCAACGAGCGCAACCCUCGUUCUAUGUUGCCAGCACGUGAUGGUGGGGACUCAUAGGAGACUGCCGGGGUCAACUCGGAGGAAGGUGGGGAUGACGUCAAAUCAUCAUGCCCCUUAUGUCUUGGGCUUCACGCAUGCUACAAUGGCCGGUACAGAGGGUUGCGAUACUGUGAGGUGGAGCUAAUCCCUAAAAGCCGGUCUCAGUUCGGAUUGGGGUCUGCAACUCGACCCCAUGAAGUCGGAGUCGCUAGUAAUCGCAGAUCAGCAACGCUGCGGUGAAUACGUUCCCGGGCCUUGUACACACCGCCCGUCAAGUCACGAAAGUUGGUAACACCCGAAGCCGGU